rnacentral:rRNA from 1 species
CAAUAGCGUAUAUUUAAGUUGCUGCAGUUAAAAAGCUCGUAGUUGGAUUUCGGGUGAGAAUGGCCGGUCCGCCGUUUCGGUGUGCACUUGCUACGCCCACCUUGCUGCCGGGGACGUGCUCUUGAGUUCACGCUCGGGACACGGAGUCGGCGAGGUUACUUUGAGUAAAUUAGAGUGUUCAAAGCAGGCCUACGCUCUGAAUACAUUAGCAUGGAAUAACACGAUAGGACUCUGGCCUAUCUUGUUGGUCUGUAGGACCGGAGUAAUGAUUAAGAGGGACAGUCGGGGGCAUUCGUAUUUCAUUGUCAGAGGUGAAAUUCUUGGAUUUAUGAAAGACGAACUACUGCGAAAGCAUUUGCCAAGGAUGCUUUCAUCAA